AGGGACUCUUCAUCAGGGACUGUAGUGAUAGGACAAGGGGGUAAUGGGUUUAAACUUAAACAGGGGAAGUUUAGAUUGGAUAUAAGGAGGAAAUUCUUUCCUGUUAGGGUGGUGAGG